UACAGGGGGGGCAAGCGUUGUUCGGAAUUACUGGGCGUAAAGGGCUUGUAGGUGGCCAAUUAAGUCAGACGUGAAAUCCCUCAGCUUAACUGGGGAACUGCGUCUGAUACUGGAUGGCUUGAGUUUGGGAGAGGGAUGCGGAAUUCCUGGUGUAGCGGUGAAAUGCGUAGAUAUCAGGAGGAACACCUGCGGUGUAGACGGCUUACUGGACCAUAACUGACGCUGAGGCACGAAAGCGUGGGUAGCAAACAGG
rnacentral:rRNA from 1 species